rnacentral:rRNA from 1 species
GACGAACGCUGGCGGCGUGCUUAACACAUGCAAGUCGAACGGAAAGGCCCGGCUUUUGUGGGGUGCUCGAGUGGCGAACGGGUGAGUAACACGUGAGUAACCUGCCCUUGACUUUGGGAUAACUUCAGGAAACUGGGGCUAAUACCGGAUAGGAGCUCCUGCUGCAUGGUGGGGGUUGGAAAGUUUCGGCGGUUGGGGAUGGACUCGCGGCUUAUCAGCUUGUUGGUGGGGUAGUGGCUUACCAAGGCUUUGACGGGUAGCCGGCCUGAGAGGGUGACCGGCGACAUUGGGACUGAGAUACGGCCCAGACUCCUACGGGAGGCAGCAGUGGGGAAUAUUGCACAAUGGGCGGAAGCCUGAUGCAGCAACGCCGCGUGCGGGAUGACGGCCUUCGGGUUGUAAACCGCUUUCGCCUGUGACGAAGCGUGAGUGACGGUAAUGGGUAAAGAAGCACCGGCUAACUACGUG